CUUUCUCGGCCUUUUGGCUAAGAUCAAGUGUAGUAUCUGUUCUUAUCAGUUUAAUAUCUGAUAUGUGGGCCAUUGGUCCACACGAUAUUAAAUUACUUUUUUAAUGGGGAGAGUCCAACACAGUAGCUUGCUACUGGGCCUCUCAAGUGUCGCCCAAGCGUUGCACUAUAGCAUGGGCCUGGCACACCCUAUAACUACCUUUAAAUCUUUCUUGGCUUUGCAAACAUAGGUCAUGUUUAGGAAUUGCUAAUUGUGGAUAACAAGAAAAAAAAUUCUAAAUGGUGGCAAAAAUUCUAAAUAGUUUCCAAAAUACAAUGCCCGAACAAAAAUUUAAGCACCUUACAUUUCCUUGGUUUACCUUGACAACCAUGUAACUGCUUUUGGUUCCCUAUUCUAUUCGCAUAAUGAUCAGAUUCUCACUUAAUUGUCUUUGUUUAAUUGUUAUUGUUGCUUCCAGGCCUCUUGCCACUUUCAUUUUACUCCUUUUCUUUUUGUAUUUUUUGGUUUCCAAAUGAAUUUUUCUGGAUUGAAUACUGCAGUCAGGUAACAUUCACUAGAGAAAAGUAGAUUAAGUUUCUUGUAUCCUUGCCGUCAAGUUCUUAUACCAGGUAAUAACAUGUGAAUGCUUUUCUAAAAUUCUGCAACAUGAGGGUUUGAAUGUAAGGAAUUCGAUUUAGGUUUUGUCCUUGCUAAUUAUCAUUUUUUUGGGAAAAUGGCAACAUAUUUUAUUAUGUUUCAAAUGGUGGUGAAGUCCUUAGUCCAUGUGAACAUAUCAAUUUAGAUUAUGUUAUUGAAUACAAUGAAACUCAACGUAAAUACACCCUGGUUGCUCUUAAUGUUGAUUUCCUUGUGCUAAAAUUAAUUUUGGAAUUGUGUACCCUCUCAGUGUUCGAGUCUCCAAUAAUCUAGGAAUGCAACAUCCUAGAGCAGCCAAGUAUUCUUUCUUGGUGACAAUGUUUCACUCUCCUCUUUGGGGUGGUGCUGAUGAUUACUGUUUUCUUAAGUAAAGACAAUCUUGCUAUUAUCUUCACAAGCAGCAAGGAUAUGCAAUUAACUGUGGCUGAUCAAGCAUACCUUCUUGGUCUAACGAUGAUUAUAAAUAGUGCUGCACAAUUGAUGUCAGGUGUUGCCAUUGGAAGUGGAUGGAAACUGACGGUGGCUUAUAUUAAUUUAACCUGCUAUUAUAUGGUUGGACUCCCUCUUGGAUUUUAUUUGGUUUCACAUUGAAUUUAGGGGUCAAGGUAAAAUGCUGUAUUUCCAACUCACUUUCAUGUUUAUUUUCUUUUGAUCUAAAGACUUCCUCUUCUUUUGAUAAAAAAGAGAUAUAUUCAAAGGAGAAGAUGGUUCAAAAAUUAUACUAUGUAUGAAAAUAAAAGAUAAUUAAGUAAUUGAGAAAAACGAGACUCUUAAUAUCUUGAUUAUAUAUUCUAAUUUAUAAUAUAAGAGAAAAUAUUUAUAAAUCAAUUUCAAUGGAAUUUUGCAAUUGACAAUAGGAUUUUAUAAUUAUUCUACGAAUAUUUUGUUAGGAAGGAUAUAUAUAUAUAUAUAUAUAUAUACAUGGAUGGAUCUCGAACCCUCAUCUCUUGAUUUUUUAAAAGUUAAUUGGUAUAAAAUUAUAUGGGGGAUAACAGUAUAAUAUCCAAUAUCGAAAAUGGCUGGCUUGCUCAGGCGCUUAAAUGUUGUCAUAUUGAAAAUACCCAAUAAAAUACCCUUACUGUCUUGAUUUAAUUUAAAAAUAAAUUUAGCCCAAUGUCAUGAGAUUGGAUAAAGCUUUUUUACAUUCACACUAAAACAUUUGUCCUAUAAAUUGUCAGUUAUACACAGUAUGUUUAGGGGAAUAAGGUAAACUUUAUCAUCUUUUUUAUGAAAAAUAUGACCAGAGGGAAUAAGAUAAUUGAUAAUUGAGUUCAUACUAUUCCUACGCCAUCAAAUUACAAAUUCACCUAACUAAUCACAGUAUGCAUAGCAAAGUGAUCCAUUUUACACAAGAUUUACAAACAGAAUAGCCACUUUUGUUAACUGUAUUACAAGAUUGAAUGAAACUAAAGAUCCUGACUGUCUCCCCUGGAUUAAGAGGCCACUUGUAACAAAACUAA